CACACACAGACACACACAGACACACACACAGACACACACACACACACAGACAGUAACCAAACAUUGUGACACAGCAACAAUCUCAUAUCUUCUUUAUAUAGUUCUAAUUUCAGAAAACACAAGCACAUGCAAGAAGUGAAUGCUUUGAUGAGUGGUUUACCACCAAACUGGUAACUUCUGUUGUGGAAUGUUUUCUGGCAGAAAGACUGUAUUUGGUCUUUCACUGUCCAUGAAGACAUGCAAUAGAUCAGCUGUGUUUUAAUCCAGUGCUGUGUUUGACUGUUUGAAUCCAGCACUAAACUAUUUACUUUAGCCCAUUCGAGGGUUCCACUGAGUUGACCUGUUGAUAAACUAUCACAAGAAGACCCUCCAAAAAUCAGCUCGCUGUGGCCGGUACAGGGCCACUGCAGUCAAAGGCUGGUGAGAGGCCAGACAGACAGCUAAAAGCACAGGCGAGGCAGCAUGCCUUCCAGGUUUCCACUAAAGUAUCCCUCAUGUAAAUAUGAACAACGUUUACACAACAAUGACUUAAACAAAAGCCGUGCUUGGAUUUCAGGCCCCUGGAAGUCACUGAGUUCAUUCAGCUGGAAUCCGAAUCCAAUUCAUCUUCAUGUCUUCCUGUCUGGGGGUUUGAGUGGAUGCUGUGUGAUCCUGUGUCUGAUCUUAUGUCUGAUUUACCAGGAAGUCCAAAUAUUAAUAGAACAUGAGACAGCAGCAUGUGAGGCAGGACCAGGAAGAGAGUUUAGCAGGCGCCGUGAUGAGGAAGAUGGGAGCCAUCAUCGGUGAGGAGAGAGGAAACAAUAAACCAGCGGAGCAGCCACAGUGCUAAAUGCAUGGGAAACGGCACAAGACCAGCUGAGCGCAGCCCCAGUUCCCGCUGACCUGGGAUGACCAUAUCCAAGCACGCUGCUACUCCAGCCAUUAUACACACCACACUGCUGCUCACAAGCCUGCUGGACUGGCUUGUGAAUCUGUCCUGUGCCUGUCCUGUGCCACAGUGGCUAUUCUGAUUUAACCCUGUUGGCUAAAAACAGGUUUGAGGGCCGCACCAUUGAGAAAGCACUCUUUCGUACUGGCAGAUAAGUAAAUGAACUCUAAUUAAUUCUAAUUCUAAUGUCAUAUUAGAACAUCAGCCCUUGUGCUGCUAAAAGGACAGUCAACCAGGCUGUCUAAAGGUUUGAUUGAUAAGGGGAUUGGUGCACACCAGUCAUUUAUAUGUAGAGAUGAGAGAAGAUUCUGAUUUACUUUAUAAAAAUUGACAUUAUAUAAAAUGUUUAUAAAAAACAGACAAAAAAUAUAUAUAUUUUCCUGGAUUAUUUCAGUGUAAACACUAUGUAAACUCUAUAUAACCUAUUAUGGACUUAGUAGAAAAAAAUACAGAACAAGGUAUACCACAUGUUGCCUGGGGAAAUGAAGGCAACUGGUAUAACCUUGAAGAUUUUUUUUGGCUUCAGCAGUUCAGCUAACAGUGUUGUUUCCUAAAAACAGUAGCAAGC